CAAACACUAGCUCAAUUGGCAGAGCAAUCGUCUCCUAAACGAUGGGUCGUCGGUUCGAUUCCGGCGUGUUUAUCCA
rnacentral:tRNA from 1 species